rnacentral:rRNA from 1 species
CCCUUAGAGUUUGAUCCUGGCUCAGAUUGAACGCUGGCGGCAUGCCUUACACAUGCAAGUCGAACGGUAACAGCUCUUCGGAGGCUGACGAGUGGCGAACGGGUGAGUAAUACAUCGGAACGUGCCCGAUCGUGGGGGAUAACGGAGCGAAAGCUUUGCUAAUACCGCAUACGAUCUACGGAUGAAAGCAGGGGACCCUCGGGCCUUGCGCGAACGGAGCGGCCGAUGGCAGAUUAGGUAGUUGGUGGGAUAAAAGCUUACCAAGCCGACGAUCUGUAGCUGGUCUGAGAGGACGACCAGCCACACUGGGACUGAGACACGGCCCAGACUCCUACGGGAGGCAGCAGUGGGGAAUUUUGGACAAUGGGCGAAAGCCUGAUCCAGCAAUGCCGCGUGCAGGAUGAAGGCCUUCGGGUUGUAAACUGCUUUUGUACGGAACGAAAAGUCUCGGGAUAAUACCCUGGGACCAUGACGGUACCGUAAGAAUAAGCACCGGCUAACUACGUGCCAGCAGCCGCGGUAAUACGUAGGGUGCAAGCGUUAAUCGGAAUUACUGGGCGUAAAGCGUGCGCAGGCGGUUAUAUAAGACAGAUGUGAAAUCCCCGGGCUCAACCUGGGAACUGCAUUUGUGACUGUAUAGCUAGAG